CAAAUUCAAGGGGUUAAAUACCCCACCAGGGUACCCAACCUCAUUAGGGGCUAAGCUAUAUUGCUUAAAGAUAGGGUCUUGGUUAACACUUCCAGGGUUUUUGAUAUCUUGCCAUCUUCUGAUCUCCACAUAGUUGAAUAAAAGGAACUCAAUCACCAAUAGUGUUGAGGAUGAUGCGAAGUAUUGUUCUUUUCCAGCAUCAAACCAUUCAGGGAUAUUGAAAAGACCAAGUUUGGUUAAGAUUUGAGGAAGCAACAUUCCUGCAACACCUAACAUAGCCCAACGUCCAUUCACAAGCUCACCUUGAACAAACCAAUUCAACCUUUGUGGCUCCUCAGCCAAACCCAAAGGAUCAAAUCCAUUGUCACCGGGAAGACUAAUAUAUAUAUCACACAAAAACAAAUAUCACCAAGUAAAUAAUCAUAACCAAAUGGAUAUUAAAUUUCACAUGAUUUACGAUAAAACAUUAUAACAUCGACUGUUGUUUGAUGCAUGUAGCCGACUUUAUCUAAUGUAAGUGUUACAUACCUGCCAGUGAGGUAAUCUGGGGAGUCCAAACCUGGCAACCACUCAGCUUCCCUGGUUUGAACCUUGGAGGAGGAGGUGUAUGAACGAGUAGUCUUCUUUUGUGCAAAACUAACAGACACAUCUCUGUUAAGUUUAGUAGAAGAGGCAUUGAGGAACAUUGGCUUAGAAACACAUGGGCUCAAAAUGGAGGCAGAAGCGUGUGUAGUGAAGGUGGCCAUUUUUGGUAGUAAUCACAAGAAGUAGUGAUUGUGACAAAUGAAUAUGCAAAAUAGCUGGUUAUAUGAAUAUGUGCAUGUGGCUGGUUUCUUAAGUACUUUUCUUUGGGAGUUCCUUGUGUCUUGUUGACCGUUGAUUCGCGUAGUGAUAUCUGGGAUCGGACGGUCUGCAUGCAUUUUAAUGCUUGUUAUCCAUAAAAUCCAUUUCUUCUUUGUUUGAUGGCUUGGGAAAGAUUCUGUGGGGUCACAAUAUGCCAUAUAUCUUCUAAAGGAUAGAAUAAAUCUACACAAAGUAGAAUUUCACUCAAUCAAUGUGAGACACCUGGUUGAAUGGCUUAUUAUGUUUUUUUUUAGAAUAAUAUAUACGCAUUCUAAGAUGAGGUAAGAAUUUCUAUAUAGUCGUUAUAUCAUUUAUCAUUUAUUUAGAUUAUUACUUUUGUUAAAUUUAAUAAGAAUUAAAUAUAAAUAGUAAAUAAUAUAGUAUUAACAUAUAUAACUUAUAUGCUGUGAGUAUAUAUAUAUUUUCUCAUUUUAUUUAUACUAUUAUUUGGAUACUCAAUGGUUGAUAGGAUGGAAAGAAAUAGGAUAGAAGGGAAAGAAAUAGAACAAAAUUAUUAUUUAUAGUAGUGUUCAUAUAUUUUAUGUUACAAUAAAGUCAAAUGAUAUGAAGAACAAAUUAGUAAGGGGCGGAGAUUGAUUGGUUGAUGUAGAGAAACACUUAGUUACUGAAAAUCUAUUAAAUAUAUAAUAAAAAAUUCUUUUAUGUUGUAUGUUACAUUCUUUUCAUUUUUUUUUCUCUCUUAAAAAGUUCUAUAAUACUAUUAUGUACAUUCUAACACUACAUUCUCAAUUUUUAUACUUUUAUAUUUUAAUAAUUUAAUACUAAUUAGUGAUAAGUGAUUGUCCUCUAUGUUUUGUUAUGUUAAAAAAUAAUAAUCAUUAAAUAUUCAACGAUAUUGAAAUCUUUUUUCACAUUUGGAUUGUUUCUCUUUCCUGUUUCAUUUCAUUUCAUUUCAAGUACUACAUCUUCGUUUUUCUCCUACUUCUUCAUCUCUCCCUUACCUUGUCAUCUCUCACAUAACGGUAUAACUGUGUAAAUUCAUAUAAAUCUUUGUGGGUGAUCCAGCAAGCAUAUAAUUCUUAUGAGUACACUUUCGAUAACAAAACCUUAAUAUAAUUCUUUCACAUAGUUGUUUAAUUUAAAUUAAAAAACUAUUAACUAUAUAAUAAAAAACUUCUUUGGAUGUCACAUUCUCCUCACUUUUCUCUUCCAGAAGGUUUUGUGUUAUUACAAUUUACUUUCUCAUACUACCUCCUCACUUUUUAUACAUUUUAUAUUUUAAUAAUUUAAUAAUAAUUAAUGAUUGACCCAACAUUUUGUUAUGUUAAAAAGAAUCAUCAUUGGACAUUAUAGAGGAUUGAAAUCAUUUUUCACAUCUAGACUAUUUCUCUUUCUACUACUACUACUUUUCCUCUACCUCUUCACAUCUCAUAAAAGGGUGUAAAUGUGUAAUUUCAUAUAAAUCUUGGUAGAUGAACAGUUGGAUGAACAAGCAUAUAAAUAUUAUGAUUAUACUUUUGGUAACGAAACCUUAAUAUAAUCAUUUCAUCUUCCCUUGUGUAAUUGUUUAAUUUAAAUUUAAAAACUAUACACUUUCAUCACAUUCAAUAUUUGCAUUAAUCUAUAUAUAUUAUUUAACAUUUACUAUUACUCAAAGAAUUAUUAUAUUUUUUACCCCAUCAAACUUUUGUGAUACUUUUACUACUGAAUUUUAGUAUCACGAUUCAGAUUCUUUGAAUUUUAAUUUUUAUCUAUUAUAAUUAAAAUAUCAAAAUUCGAAAUUGAAGUUUUUUAUAACUUUUAAAUAUUUUUCAAUAACAAAAAACUAAUAUAAAAGUUUGAUUUCUCUAUUUUCAUUAAAAAACUAAUUCGAAAUUGCAAAAGUCAUUUCAUUUUCUACAACUUUUAAAAUAUCUAUUUAAAAAAAUCACAUAGUAUCUGGUUUCCUAUUUUCAUUAGAAAAUUCAAAUUUAAAAUUGUCAUUUAUUUUCCUUAUGUGUUUGAAUACACAAAUACACAGGUAAUACAUGCAUUAUUAACAAUGCGAAUAUACAAGUAACAUAUGUAUCUUAAUUAUGCAAAUGUAUGAGUAAUAUAUUUUCUUAGCAUUGUUAAUAAACAACAAACAUGUUUAGUUUUAAUCAUGCAUAUUCAUGGGUCACGUGAAUGUUAUUAACAGUAUGAAUGUACAUUUCCAAAAGUUUCUUUCUUGAUUUCUGUAUCUUUUUAUUUUUGAAUAUUGUAAUGUUACUAUAAAAGGUGAGAGCAUCGUCUCCUAGGUCGAGUUGCCACUAUAUAUUUUAAUUUGGUUUUCAAGGUUCCGUUUUAUAUGGUGUUUGUGAUCAUUUAAGUGUGCUGUUGCAUUCUUCAUACGAUACUUGUCUAUAUUUUUUUUUAUAUUUCCUUUCAUAAAUAUGAAUGCAGGACUAAAUAUGAAAGUAAUUUUAUGUACUUUGGUACUCCAAUGUAGUUGUAUUUAACAAAUUUUUUUGAAGUGAAAUAUAAAAUUCUUAAGCAAUGGACCUGUAUCUAAAUAAUAUAAUCAAAACAUCUUAUUUCCUCAAAUAGAGGUUGGCUAUAUGCAACCAUGCUCAAAUAUCUAAAAACUUAGUUCAUUAGGAUCACAAGAAAACAACAGAAGCUUUCAUGGUAUUUGAUUACAAGAUUUAGUAAGCGCUCAGUUUUUGGACAAUGCUGUUGUGCCAUGGAUCUGAGAUAUGCUGCAAGAGGUUUUCAAAUGGUCCUUUCCCUGUUACGUUGUACUGAGUCACUAAUCCCAAGAAUGCCAACAUUGCCACUCUCCCUAUAUACAUAGACCAAAAUAAACAAACAAGGUUACUUCAUUAUCAAAAAUAACAACUUAGAUGUAGCAGUGAGAAUGAUUAAGAAGCAUGCAUUUACCAUUGGCAAUUUCCUUCUCUUUAAGCUCCAGUGUUGGCUCCAAAUUCAAAGGGUUAAAGACCCCACCAGGGUAUCCAACCUCAUUAGGGGCUAAACUGUAUUGCUUAAAGAUAGGGUCUUGGUUAACACUUCCAGGGUUCUUGAUAUCCUGCAAUCUUCUGAUCUCCACAUAGUUGAAUAAAAGGAACUCAAUCACCAAUAGUGUUGAGGAUGAUGCAAAGUAUUGUUCUUUUCCAGCAUCAAACCAUUCAGGGAUAUUGAAAAGACCAAGUUUUGUUAAGAUUUGAGGAAGCAACAUUCCUGCAACACCUAACAUGGCCCAACGUCCAUUCACAAGUUCACCUUGAACAAACCAUCUCAAGCUCUCUGGGUCCUCAGCCAAACCCAGAGGAUCAAAUCCAUUGUCACCAGCAAGACUAAUGUAUUUUUAGCACAAAAACAAAUAUUAGACAAAAUAAUGAAAAUGAAUGGUAGAUGAUGCGGUGUCUGUCUGUAUAUAAAUCUGACAUUAUAUAGAUUUUUCACUUUUUGUAUGCGAGAAAAAUAUGUACGCACUGACAGUUAUUGAGUUUUAUUCACUGUCACUCAUCAUCUGCAAUUGAUAUUUAAUAAUUUUUGACUUUUCAGAAAAAAUAAUCAAAAUGAAUGGUGGAUGAUGUGGUGUCUAUGUAUAAAUUUUUACACUGACAUUGUAUAGAUUUUCGACUAUUUGAAUAGAGAAAAAUAUAUAUACACUAAAAAUGUAAGAGAUUUUUACACUGUCAUUGCAUUAUUCACCAUUCAUUUCUAAUCAUCGUUGACUUUAAAUAAAAAUAAUACAAAUGAAUGAUGGAUGAUGUACUAACUGUGUAUAAAUCUUUACAAUGUCAAGUAACAUAUUUUAUACUCCUUGGUAUAUACACAUAAAUGAUUAAUUUAUGAUAAAAUCGUUUCUUUGGUGCAUGUAUCUAACUUUAUCUAACCAUUAAAAGACUUGGUUGAUUUUUAUGAUUAUUACAAAGUAAAUAAUCAUAACCAAGUGGAUUUUAAAUUUCAAUUUAUAUAAUUUACGAUAAAACAUUAUAACAUCGAUUGUUGUUCGAUACAUGUAGCCGACUUUAUUAGGAAAAUGUAAGUGUGUUACAUACCUGCCAGUGAGGUAAUCUGGGGAGUCCAACCCUGGCAACCACUCUGCUUUCCUGGCUUGAACCUUGAAGGAGGAGGUAUAUGAAUGAGACCUCAUUUGUGUAAAACUAACAGAAGAGCCAUUGAGGAACCUUGACUUAGAAGCACAUGGCCUGAAAAUGGAGGCAGAAGCAUGAGUAAUGGCGGUGACCAUGUUUUGUAGCAAUCAAGAACUAGUGAUUCUGAUAAAUGAAGAUGAAAAAUAGCUAGUUAUAUGCAUGUGGCUAGUUUCUAAGUAUUUUUCCUUGGGAGUUCAUUGUGUGUUGUUGACCGUUGAUUCACUUAGAUCGGACGGUCUGCAUGCAUUUUGGGUUAUCCAUUUUAGUGCUUGUUAUCCAUAAAAUCCAUUUUUCAGAUGGCUUGGGAAAGAUUAUGUGGGGUCACAAUGUGCCAUGUAUCUUCUAAAGGAUAAAAUAAAUCUACUAAAGUAGAAUUUCACUCAAUCAAUGCUAGACACAUGGUAGCAUUUCAUAUAUUUUAUUUAUACUAUUCUUUGGAUACUGAAUGUUUAGUAGGGAAUGAAAUGGGAUAAAAGAGAAUGCAAUAGAACAAAGUUAUUGUUAUACUAUUGUUUAUAUGUUUUAUGUUACAAUAAAGUGAAAUAUAGGGGUGUGAAAAUUACCCACAAUCUAUAAAUGAAUAACUCCAAAUUUAUAAAAAAUCAAAUUCAUUUAUUAGAGUUAAUUGAUUUAAAUGAAUAACUUUAGUAAUAAAUAAAUUUGAAUUCAUCUAUUAUAUGUAAUGAAUAAUCAUGAAUAUAUGCAUUUGGAUGGUUAUUCAAUAAUACAAAAAGCAAAUAUUUAAAAACUAUGUUUUUUGCCUUUCAAUCUCUUUCACUAUAUCAACUAUCACUUUCCUAAAAAAAAAUCUUAAAUACGUAAUAUAUAUAAAUAUAUGUUGAAAACUUAGAUAUACAACCUUAAACAUCACAUACCUAUACAAUAUAGUGAAAAACUAUUUGUUUUAAAAAGUUAAAAACACUUUUAAAAAAAUAGUUUUUAAAAGUGUCUUUCUUAAAAAUAUGAUUUAAAAAAUGUUUUCUUUUCAAGUGCGUUUUUAGUUUUAAUUAAAAAAAUCAAAUAUUCAUCCAUUCAAAUCCUUGGAAAUUGAGUCAUGAAUUGAUUGGAAUUCAUUCAUUAAGUUUGGAUAUAAAUAAAUUGAAUAAUAUAUAAUGUGAUUUAAAUGGAUUCGUAUAGAUUUGUAUCCAUUCAUCCAUAUCCAUCCAUUUGAUACUUGUAGUCAAAUGAUAUAAAUAACAAAUUAGUAAGGGGAGGAGAAUGACUGGUUGAGGUAGAGAAAAAUUGAGCUAGUUGGAAAUAUAAUUUUAUUCAUCCAUGUCUUGAACUCUUACUAUCAUCCUUUAAGGAAAUCAGCUCUUUCAAGUUGAACACAAUGGCAAGUGGAAGCAAAAAUGCUUUUGAUUUUAUUUUUUAUCCUAUCUUUUUCUUAGCUUUGCUAGAAAAUAACAUGAUUUGUAACAAUAAGUUCUUGUUUUUUGUUUUGUUUUUAAGCAUGAAAAUGUCAUUUUAUUGUAUAAAUAAAAAGAUAAAAGUGUUAUAAUAUCUUAUUUUUACUAUUGUGUUUGAUAGCACUUAUGUUCACAACACAAUUCAAAUGACCAGGGCAAUCUUAAAAUAACCCCUCUCAAUUGCUUUUACUAUCUCACUUCUAUAAUAUCUUACUAUGCCAACUUUGUAUUGAGUUAGUUGUUGGGAGACAAGUUUAGAGAGAUCAAAAUGUUAAAGUGGAGGGUUGCACCACCCACCUUCAUUAUUUUAGGCACCACCUUUGGCCAUUCACACACACUUGAUUUCUAAAAUUUUAUGCAUGUGUGGGUCUCUAAGGGGGGAUGAAGAAUGGAUAUUGAGAAAAUAAAUGUUCAUUUUAAUUAUAAUACAUAAUUUGUAACUAGUAUAAUUAAAAGGAAAACAGGCAUUAUAUCAAAAAAUUCAAAUCAUUAAAUAUUUUACAUGAGUUGUUUUUCCAAUUCUUACUUCUAUGAGAAAUUGAGAAUAUGCUCAGACAUAGGAAUAAUAAUAAAAUAAAACUCAAUUCAUUAUUUAGCUCAACAAAUUUGGUUUAUGAAUUAAAUGAGUUGAAUUUGAGUUUAUUAAACAAACCAAUUUACUUGAGUUUCAUAUAGUUUAAAGGUUGUAUUUAUAUAUAUAAUAUUGUUCAUUAUUUUUUAAAUGAAUUAAUUAUUUGAUUUGUAGAAAUAAAUCAAUUCGAACUGAGCCGAACAUAUCAUUAAUUUUAAUGGAGUCAAAAUUGAGCUAAAAGAAUAACUUGUUUCAAAUUCGAGUCAAGUUUCGAGCUGAACAAAUCUUUAUCGAGUUGAACGAAGCUGAACUCUAAUUUGACACAGUUUAGUUCGUUUCCAACCAUACUCAAACCCAAAAGGAUAUAGUUGGAUUUUGAGGAAAAAAGAAAAAAAUAAUUUCAAAACCAUAAAAUAUACAUGUCUUGGAAACCUUUUAUUUCCUUUUGUUCUCCAAAACUCAGUAAAUAGGACUAAGGGUAAGGGUAUGCUUGUUGAAAAAGUGGAAUGAAAUUUUCCAACAUAUGGCUUGACAUGUAUAAAAAGAGAAUAAUUUGUACUUUGAACAUUUAUGUUUUAAUUUGAAAGAUGGAUCCAAGGUAGGGUUCCGUAUGGUGAAGGAGUGGAGUUAGGGAUGGCAACGGGUACGGGCGGGCACGAGUAGUAGCUACCCGCUACCGUUUCAAAAUAGAAGAGUAAUACCCAUACCCGCCCGUACCCGUACGGGUACCCGUGAGCGGGUAUUUGCGGGUAUUUCUAGGUACUCGCGGGUUUCUGUAUUAUAAAUAAUUUUUUAAAUUUUUACUUAAAUUGUGUUUUAAAUAAGAUGAAACUUAAUUAUUUUUGUACAUUUUGAUUGAAUAUUUGACAAAAAUGCUAAAUUUAUUGGUGGUUUCCAUUUGUGUGAUUUUUUGAUCUCAUUUUUUAACAAAAAAUAUAUUUUUUCUUUGUAAAACAUGUGUGUUUUUACACAUGUAAUAAUAUUUGUAGGGUGUUUUACCACCAAACUCAGUAAAAUAUGUAAACAAAGUAAAAGGAAAAAAUAUACAUAGUGUAAUAAAUGUUAGAAUAAUAUAUUUUUUAUUUUAAUUAAAUAUAAUAUAUUAAUAAUAUAAAUAACGGGUACCGCAGGUACGGGUACCAUAAUACCCGUACCUGCCUGUAUAUACUAUGAAUAUUUUUAAAAACUCACUUGCAGGUACCCGUUUCUAACCCGUAUUGCUAUCCUUAAGUGGAGUUGAGAAGUGUGAGAGUGGUGGUUGAUAUAUUUAUUUGUAAUUAGUUAGUGGAUAUGGUUUGAGAUUUGACUGGGUUUGUGGGCGUUGGAUGGAAUGAAUAAACGGUGGAGAUUUGAUAUGGAUCAUGGGUGUUGGAUUUCUAGGAUCGGUCCGCAUUUGCUUUAACACAACUUUGUGUCACCUUACCUCCUAGUACGUCUGAUUGACCAGAAAAAUAUUUAAUAAUUAUCAUUUUAACUUAAAUAAUUUUUUUCAAUCAAUCAUAGUUGAUAAUACAUAGAGUGAUACAAAAAGUGAUAUCAUAAAUAUAAUCCCGAAUAUGAGUAGUGAGUUUGAUAUUUGGAUAGAUCUCAUUUUCCACGUUCUUCAACUGCAUUCUUAAUCAUCUCUCCAUGGACCACAAUUGAUGACACCUCGUUUGAGACAAUCACUUUAACCAAUGGGCAAUUGAUUGGUUUGACGGGUUGGACUAGGAUAGCUCAAUUCAUUGGUGUGACUUGUACGUUCAAUUUAGUUUAUGAGAAUGGAGUAUCUCCUUGCUAGGGGAAAUAAUUUCCUCUCUUUACACCAGUUAGGUAAUGACACAUGGUUAUUUUUUACCUAUUUUAAAAAUAAAUAAGAAAACAAAAAGUAAAAUAAUACAAAUGUUUAUUAAUGAAUGAAUACGAGGAGAUAAUUUCUCUCCUCAUAUCAGGACCUACAUUAUUCUCUUCCAAAUAUUAGUUACUUAAUUUAAAUUUAAAAAUGUGAAGUCCUACAUUAUUAGAUAUGCAAGAAUGAGUGACUAAAUUAAAAAGACUAAAACUAAUGUUUUAGUAUUUUAGCUCAAGACAUGGUGUGACUUUCUUUUCUUCUCACAAUCCGGUAAUAAUAGAAUUCUCCAUUAAUUAGAGGCCGUACUUAAAAUAUGAAGAGGUUUUUAAGACAUGUAGUAAGAUGUUGGCUUAGGCUUGAUGCAAAAUUCCAAAUCCUAUUAUAUGUAUUUAGUUGAAAGCCAUUCUUAGAAAACAUGUUAUUAAUCACUCACGUGGGUUGUUUUUAGCCAAUGGAGAUCUGCUAUCUUAAUUUUUAUAUUAAAAAGUAAGAAAAUAAAUUUUUUAAAUUACUUGAUAAAAUGUAAUUGUGUUGAAACAUGCAAAUGAAUAUUUGAAGAUACAUACACAUAUCUGGUAGACUUGUGUAAUUAAUUUAGUGACCCAAGUUUUAAAUUUCAAUUUUGGAGAGAAUGAAAGUAAUUUGUAUUUAAAAAAUCUUUAAUCAGGUGAAAUAUAUAAUUCUUAAGCAAUAGGCUGAAUGUAAAUAACAAAAUUAAAAGAUCUUACUGUAAAAGAGGUUGGGUAUAUGCAACCAUACUCAAAUAUCUAAAAACUUUGUCCAUUAGAAUCAGAAGAAAAAAACAACAGAAGCUUUCAUGAUAUUUGAUUACAAGAUUUAGUGACCGCUAAGGUUUUGGAAAAUGUUGUUGUGUAAUGGAUCUGCAAUAAAGUCCGAGACAUUUUCAAAUGGUCCCUUCCCUGUAACAUUGUGCUGAGUCACAUUUCCCAAGAAUGCCAACAUUGCCAAUCUCCCUAUAUACAUAAACAAACAAUGUUACUUCAUUAUCAAAAACAAUAGCUUAUAUGUAACAAUGAGAAUGAUUAAGAAGCAUGCAUUUACCAUUAGCAAUUUCCUUCUCUUUAAUCUCAUAUGUUGGUUCCAAAUUCAAGGGGUUAAAUACCCCACCAGGGUAUCCAACCUCAUUAGGGGGUAAGCUAUAUUGCUUAAAGAUUGGGUCUUGGUUAACACUUCCAGGGUUUUUGAUAUCUUGCCAUCUUCUGAUCUCCACAUAGUUGAACAAAAGAAACUCAACGGCCAAGAGUGUUGCAGAUGAUGCAAAGUAUUGUUCUUUUCCAGCAUCAAACCAUUCAGGGAUAUUGAAAAGACCAAGUUUGGUUAAGAUUUGAGGAAGCAACAUUCCUGCAACACCUAACAUAGCCCAACGUCCAUUCACAAGCUCACCUUGAACAAACCAAUUCAACCUUUGUGGCUCCUCAGCCAAACCCAAAGGAUCAAAUCCAUUGUCACCGGGAAGACUAAUAUAUAUAUAUAUAUUACACAAAAACAAAUAUCACCAAGUUAAUAAUCAUAACCAAAUGGAUUUUAAAUUUCACAUGAUUUACGAUAAAACAUUAUAACAUCGACUGUUGUUCGAUACAUGUAGCCGACUUCUUUAUCUAAUGUAUAUAUGUAUGUUAUAUAUAUACCUGCCAGUGAGGUAUUCUGGGGAGUCCAACCCUGGUAACCACUCAGCUUCCCUGGUUUGAACCUUUGAGGAGGAGGCAUAUGAACGAGUAGUUUUCUUUUGUGUAAAACUAACAGACACAUUCCUGUUAAGUUUAGUAGAAGAGGCAUUGAGGAACAUUGGCUUAGAAACACAUGGGCUCAAAAUGGAGGCAAAAGCUUGUGUAGUGAAGGUUGCCAUCUUUGGUAGUAAUCACAAGAAG
rnacentral:lncRNA from 1 species